GUCGCGCGAGCUCCCCGGAAGCUCCCACCUGAGCGGCGCAUCCUCAGGGCCUGGGCCUGGCCUCCUUGCCUGUGAGAUGGCACUGUGACGGUGCCCACCUCGUGGGGUGUGUGAGGGCCGAGUGAAAUCGUGCAUUUGCGCCUGGAAUGCAAUGAUGCGAUCUCGGCUCACUGCACUGCAACCUCUGCCUCCUGGGUUCAAGCAAUUCUCCUGCCUCAGCCUCCUGAGUAGCUAACGAUGAGAACCACUGCUUGAGGGCCUUCCUAUUUCUUCCACCAUGCAUCUGGAAAUGCCCAUGACCUUCAUCGCAGCAGCGUAUGUGCGUUGGUCUUCUCCAGGGAUGCCGAAAGUAGACAUACAGGGAGUCGCAGUACGGAUACCACCAGUGCCAGCCUGACCUCACAAGAGACGUCUUGUGUGACUGGCCCUGCCGUCACAGCUGGGCCAGUAAAGUACCUUCCAGGAGGCUCCAGUUGCUACCUGACUCACAACCUUCUAAUCCCAUGAUCUUUUAGUUCUAGUUUCCUUAUCUUGGUCUGAGCAAAUGGCUCAUUUUAAAGAUGACUUGCAGACAAAUGUAGAGAUCAUCCCAGGGGAAAGUGCCCCAAGAAAGGAGAGUCCAAGACCACCUGCCCCUCCCAGUUCUGCGGCUGGAGUGGGUGGGUGCAGCAACCACAGCCCCAG
ensembl:lncRNA ATP1A1-AS1 ATP1A1 antisense RNA 1